UUCAGGGGCCUGAAUACCCUAAAAGUACCAGAUCUUGUCCGAUCUUGGAUCUAAGCAUGGUCAAACUGGAUUAGUAUUUGGAUGGGAGACCCAUUAAUAAAUACCGGAUGCUGUAGGUU
rnacentral:rRNA from 1 species